rnacentral:misc_RNA from 1 species
GAUGAAGAACGUAGCGAAGUGCGAUAAGUAAUGUGAAUUGCAGAAUUCCGUGAAUCAUCGAAUCUUUGAACGCAAAUUGCACUCUCUGGCAACCCGGGGAGUAUACCUGUUUGAGGGUCAGUGUUAAUAAAAAUCGGUGCGUUGCAAUUUUUGUGACGUUUCCGGAGUUUGAGUUAUCUUAACCCUUCUGUGGUUUAAGAGGCUUAAAAUUGACCUUUUUUUGUGCAUUUUAGACGUACAUAAAUCUUUUUUAUUCGUCCAUCCUAAUGCCAAAAUCUAUUAGAUGCGACCAUAUCAUGUGGUUCCGUAUCCAUAAAUUUUUCAUGAUUUGACCUCAAAUCAGGUAGGAACACCCGCUGAACUUAAGCAUAUCAAUAAGCGGAGGA